GACGAACCGUGCGAACGUUGUUCGGAAUCACUGGGCUUAAAGGGCGCGUAGGCGGCUUGUCAAGUCAGGGGUGAAAUCUUUCGGCUCAACCGGAAAAGUGCCUUUGAUACUGACAGGCUAGAGGGAGGUAGGGGUAUGUGGAACUUCUGGUGGAGCGGUGAAAUGCGUUAUAUCAGAAGGAACGCCGGUGGCGAAAGCGACGUACUGGACCUCUUCUGACGCUGAGGCGCGAAAGCUAGGGGAGCAAACGGG
rnacentral:rRNA from 1 species